UGACUGGUAAUAUUUUUAUUCACCAUUAAUUCUGUAAGAAUCUAAAGAAAUAAAUUACUCCUCUUGCAAAGAGGUGGACUUGCUUUCAAUUUGCAACUAUUUUUUUUCUGUUUUAAGUCAAACACACAACAAAUGACCAGUAAAAGCUAUUCUAAAUCUAAGCAUAUUUAGAAUAUGCUUUUCCUCUAAUCUGUCUUUAUCAGUUUUCUUUCAGGACACUGUGGCUUGUUGCAAAAUCUGAUUUUGAUGACCAGUCCUUACUGGGUUCCUGUUGUUUGAAGUGCUUCAGUCCUGAAAAGUUUCUUCAAAGAAACUCUCAGACUGGAACUGGUGCAGCUUUGCAGAGUGGAGCUCUCACUGUACUUCAAAGCAGAGAAAAUCUUGCAGCUGUCUGGAGCCCGCUUGCCCCAGGAGGUGUCACUGUUGGGACUAGCAGGGCUAUCCUUUGACAGUAGCAACAGGCUAGGGAGCAUAAAGAGAGGACCAUGAAAGAGCUACUGAACAUCCUGGCCUACAUGAACCUCUGCUGAAGGAAGUCCCAAGCAUGCUGCUUGCCAGCGGUUGGGAAGGUACAACCAAGCAGAGAGAUCUCCAAGUACAAGCCUUGUUCCUCUGCUCUUCCCCACACUUCUGCUACUGGCAGCUGCUGGAGGCAGGACUGUGCUUGAGAGACCUUUGUUCUCAUCCAGCCUGGUUGUUCUUAUGCUAAAACUUUUAUGUUGUGCUUUGAUUUUUCUUCUGUUUUCUGCAGAUAGUUUGAUUUCUAAAGGAUAAAAAGAAGAAAGUUCCUUAUUUCUUUUAACACUUCUGUCCAUCAUGGUUUACAGUCUGUUCACUGCCCAGAAGGACAAAAGAAAAUUAAGAGAAGAACAAAUAUUAUGGCAUCCCUGCCUUCCUGAGGCUGGUAAUCCAGCCAGUCACAGUCUCAGCCUCUUACAGCUCAGUUUUCUCAGUAGUUUUAAGAGCAUUUCCUGCAGCCUUGGCUCUCGGGUGUCAGAACUGAUAGAGAACUGUGGGAAAUAAGUGGGUAACUAGCAAUCUCUCAUAAUUUUUUCCAAGAUCUUGAAAAUUUUCUGUCAUUUUCCCAUAAAACAUAGUUUCUCUAGAGCAAGUUAAAAGGAAAGCAUUUUGCAGGUUCAUUAGAAGAAUCUCUGUUAAAAACCUGUUUGAGGGAGCUCCUUUCUGAUUCUGAAAAUUAAGUUGUAAUGGAGCAGUCUUUUCUUAAGUUGUAUUUAUACUGUGAAUUCUCAGAAAUCCCAGCCAAGAAUUAUUGCAGCACUGUACAAGGCUGAAAUUCCCUGUAGCUGUAUUCUUAGCACUUCCUAAGACCCUAUGACAGCAUAUGCUUUUCUAUUGACAUAUUUAUUCUGCGUGACUGAAAUUAUUGCAAACUUUGCAAUUUAUUUGAAUCAAAUUAACUUAUCUUUUGUCAUCUUGGGCAAACUUGAUGAACCAAUUUAUUAUUAUCGAAGACAAAUCUGGCAAAACAUUUGUGUUUCUCCUUAAUUUUCUUAAUUUUAUCUUACUUGUUUAAGCACAGUGCUCUCCUGUGAAGUUUGGAUAGGAACUUGCUUGAAUGUUUUGCUAAUAUAAGUUCCAAGAUUGGAUCCAACGCUAUAAUGUAUGGGUUGUUUUUUUUUAAAUGUGAGGUUUUAAUUGUUUUUGUGUUUUCAGCAGAGAAGUCCAGCAAUGCAAUCCACAUUUUAAGAAUGAUCAAACACUUUAACUAUUUGGUAGUUCCCCUUGGAUAUGUAUUGUAUUUAAAGGUUAAAGUAUGCCUUGAUGAAAAAAGUGUUUGCCUUUAGCUGUUCUUUGUUAUUUUAUCAGUUGCUUCAGAUGUGAAAAGCCUUUUCAUUUGUUUGAGAUUUGUUUAUUUCUUACUGCUAAACUUUUCUGUAUUUUGCACCAUAUGCCACUCUGGUAUUAUGCAUUACAGUCAGGUUUGAAUUUUGGCUUCUCUUUGGACUAUUUUACAAGGAGAGAGAUUUUACACACUAAAAUGCUUUCCGUAGAACACAGCUGUAAAAAAAAAAGCGAAGUAACUCAGUCUAUACUUUAUGUCUCCUUGAAACAUAUUCUUUUUAAAGAGGGUUUAUGUAAUUUUACAUAAUUCUUUUGGCAGGAAUAUUUAUUGCCCAGCUGGGCGAAAUUACUAAUGUACCUCUCAUGCUGCAUUUUCAAAGAUCAGUAAUACAUACAUAUAUUUAAACCAUUUUGAGGGUCCUUGAUAUGUACUAUUUUUAUUGGAGACCCUCGUUCCACUUCAGUAAAAGGACGACACAAGAUGUUUACCUAAAAAAGAGUCUCUGACAUCCUCCUGAGAAUGUUUUGAUAGAAUGGCAUACAUUUGGUUACAAUUAGUAAGCCAAACAAUUUGCCAUUGUUAUCUCACUGUGUUUGUCUAGAGCCCGUAUGGAGCUUUCAAAAAAUAUCCAUCUCCGUGUUUAAGUUAAUUGAUUGCAUGUUCAGUAGAAUUAUUCUAUUUUCUAAAACUCCCUGUCCUUUUAGUUUUAUCAGAGAGAUUUUACACUAAGGCAUGUGGUAGAAAGCAAAAGAGAAAUAACUGGAACAGAUAAGCAUAAAGAGAUAUUGUAGUUGUAUGAAGGCUAAUAUUCCCGUGUGUGGGAAAAAAUACCAAUGUGUUCCUGCUACUUCUGGGUGCAAGAUGUUACACCCGAGGGCUGAAAGUAAUAGUUACUGGUGUGAAAGUAUUCACCAAUAUCAAGUGCAGAUGAAUACUUUCGGAGCCAGCUGAAAGUGGAGUUAAUCAUAUUUUAGCUUAACAUUUGAACUUGUACUCUGUCUGGUACACUAAAUGAUGGGUGACUUAGUUUUAUUCAGCCUUUAUUAGCAGCGUGAUUAAAGGACUCAAAUUCUUGUCUGACACCUUUGCUGUGUUGUGAUUUGUUUGCUUCUUUGCCAUUUUAUAUGUUAUCUAGAAUUUAAUUUUCUUUUGUAUGUUAUCUGAAAUACAUCUUUCUGUGGAAUAUUUUGCUUUCUAAAGAGAGAUUGAAGAGUCUCAGCUAAGAUCAGUAUCUGUCUCUUUAGGUAGUAAGAGUACUUUUGCUUACAGUUGUUUGGUGGUUACGUGAUUAAGCUGAUGUAAUAUGAAUUAGUGUCUAUGUCACAGAAAUUCCCUGUGCAAUUAUCACCCCUUGGAAUCACUGCAGUGCCAGGUUUUGGCCUGAUAGCAAGACCUGGCGGUUCUGUGCCUGCUUUAAUUACCCUUUUUUGUUUACACUCUUGUUGGAGAAACCACUGAUCACAAUUCCUGUAAUGGUAGGUACACAGCAGCAGCAGAGAAAUGCAGAGCUUAUAGUGCUAUUCCACUUGAUAAACCUGUGUCCUUGAAGUCUCCUACAUCCCUUCCCUGUCAGACUGGUAAAGUCAUGCUGCUUUUAUGAAUUCUUGGUGGGCGUGGUCAAUACUGACUUGAAUAAUUCCCUUUUGAAUUAUAUCUUUAACAAAACAAUCCUUGAAAAGGCCUGCUAGGUUUUGGAUGGGUGCACAGGAAGAAAAGGGUAAGAAAGAAAUUCCUCCUCCAAUGCACAGCUGGAGAAGAGACAGUACUUGAAGCGUUUUCUGCAGUUGCCACCUCUGCUUUCUCAGCAGGGUGGGAAAGGACAGACU